rnacentral:rRNA from 1 species
AGCGAACGCUGGCGGCAGGCUUAACACAUGCAAGUCGAACGGGCACUUCGGUGUCAGUGGCAGACGGGUGAGUAACACGUGGGAACGCACCUCUUGGUUCGGAACAACACAGGGAAACUUGUGCUAAUACCGGAUAAGCCCUUACGGGGAAAGAUUUAUCGCCGAGAGAUCGGCCCGCGUCUGAUUAGCUAGUUGGUAAGGUAACGGCCUACCAAGGCGACGAUCAGUAGCUGGUCUGAGAGGAUGAUCAGCCACAUUGGGACUGAGACACGGACCAAACUCCUACGGGAGGCAGCAGUGGGGAAUAUUGGACAAUGGGGGCAACCCUGAUCCAGCCAUGCCGCGUGAGUGAUGAAGGCCCUAGGGUUGUAAAGCUCUUUUGUGCGGGAAGAUAAUGACGGUACCGCAAGUAUAAGCCCCGGCUAACUUCGUGCCAGCAGCCGCCGUAA